rnacentral:rRNA from 1 species
UACGAAGGGGGCUAGCGUUGCUCGGAAUCACUGGGCGUAAAGCGCACGUAGGCGGAUCUUUAAGUCAGGGGUGAAAUCCUGGAGCUCAACUCCAGAACUGCCUUUGAUACUGAGGAUCUUGAGUCCGGGAGAGGUGAGUGGAACUCCGAGUGUAGAGGUGAAAUUCGUAGAUAUUCGGAAGAACACCAGGGGGGAAGGCGGCUCACUGGCCCGGUACUGACGCUGAGGUGCGAAAGCGUGGGGAGCAAACAGG